CACAGACACACAUAGAGGGAAGUCCAGGUGAACACACAGGGACAAGAUGCCACCUACAAGCCAAGGAGAGAGAUCUCAGAAGAAACCAACCCUGCCAACACCUUGAUCUCAGAUUUCUGGCCUCCAAAACUAGAAGACUGGGAUCGCCAGGAUAUAGAUUCUGAGAAGGAGGAGUCUUAUUGGCGAGGUCCCUUGGGAACGCCACCCGUGGAGGAGUGAGGACGACUGAUGGGGCACAAGCAGAAGUCGAAUGGCACUGCGGUUGCAAAAGCGCCAUCAACUAACCCUCUCGGCCAUGACGGCGCAAGCGGUCCGCUGUGGGCCACGGAGUGUGAGCUGCACCCCCUGGGAGGACGCGUGACCUCAGGUGGUUGAUGGUAGGAAGAGGUCUUCAGCACAACUACAGCUGAUCCUGUCAUAGUCUUUCCUCUGUUACCCUGCAGAUCUGCUGAUAAGGAAUAAGAGUUUUACUUCUCUACCAAGAUUGCAGCAGCUGCCACAUGAGUCCAUGAUAUGGAAGCCACAUGCAGAGGAUGGCAGAGGAGGAAGAUAGCCAUAGGCUGCUUGUGACGGAUGGAGACCCCAUGUCAGCUCUGGACUGAUGGCCUUCACAGUACUUCAUAUUAUAAAAACAUAAAUUUCUAUAUCCUUUAAAAGGGGCAUUAUUUUGGGAUUUUCAGGUUUUUGUAGCCAUGCCCAGGCCUAACCAAUAUACAGACUAAUUGCGUUUGUAGUUGUUGCUAACUGAUCAGAACCCUUUCGGAAGGGCUUCUAAGAAUUAGUGGUCCAGAAAAAGAAAAGAUAUGGAGCAUCAUGAAAACGAUACUUUCAGGGACUUCCCUGGCGGUCCAGUGGUUAGGACUCUGCGCUUCCACUACAGGGGGCGCAGUUCGACCCCUGGUCUGGGAACUAGGAUCCCGCAAGCUGCGCCGCGCGGCCAAAAAACAAAAAACAAAACAAAAAAACACCCAUACUUUCAAGUGUAUCUACACUAGCAUGUUGAAUUUCUAGAUGACUCUCUCAUUAGUUGAUUUUUUUUUUUGAUGCAGCAGAUAAGCCCAUCUAGACAUGAUCCCAAAUGUUGAUAUAGCCAAUUUGGAGGGAAUAGCCACCAAAUAUAACUCUUAAUUACAUAAAAGUUAAACAUUAAAUGGAUGUUAAUUAUGAUGAAAAUAGUGACAUUUUUACACCAGUGCAAAUGUGGCUCAUUAAAGUACAGAGGCUUUUAAUAAAUACAUUUAGAAAAAGAAGAGCCUACUGCUAAAGGAAAGUUUGUCAUCUGGGAUGUAUUGUUAAAGGAAUUUUUACCAAAUGAAUAUUUCUGUGAACUAACUUAUAACUUUGAGAGAAAAACUGUAUUGACCUCUGAAACAAUCAAUACAUGGAUUCUUUAGCAUUAAGUCUCAUUGGUACAAAAAUUAGGAGGAACAGUAUAAUUUGUACCGUGAAUGGACAGAAUAAUCUAUUACUCUCUUUUGGGGACAUGCAACUUAUUUUCCCAGAUUUCAUCAUUAUGUGGCUAAUUUAGAGAACAGUGUUAUUGGGUGCUUCGAGGAUUUAAACCUUGAUGAUGCUGAAAAGUUUCUUUUGUUAGCACUGCUUCUAUAAAAACACUCAGGCAUUUUGAAAUGAUUUUUGAAAUGGUCUGACAGUACAGGCAAUUAAAAAACACAAAGUUAAUUCCUUCCAUCCCCCAACUGUAAGACAUUAGAAAUGAAAGUGGCCUGAGUAAAAAUUAAAAAAAAAAAAAGGUUUUAGAGAGACAUCCUCUUUUUCUUUCUUUCUUUUUUCUCUUUAUCAGUGCAAAUGUUCAUGUUUUCAUCCCUGUAGGAUUCUUUCCUCACUGCAUUCCACAAGCCCAGAGAAACUCGCUGGAACUCAUACAAAACCCUCUCCUGCUACCAUAUUAGGAAUCAAAAUGUGUAGCAGAAACCAACUGCCAAGUCGAGAUAAUCAACAGGGAAUGUCUGUGCCUUCAAGCCAAAUGAGUGCAGAAAAAUGAUCAAGGCAGCAAAAUAAAUAAUAAAACUGAGGACUGGCUUUAGAUUAUGGUCUUGUUAUAUCCCACUCACUAAUAAAGCUGUGCUGGAAAUUUCUGUACCUCUUGGCCAUUCAGGUACCAGAGUCAAGUUCGGUCUAAUUUUACUGUGGAUAUAAUUCACUCUAGGUCAC